rnacentral:rRNA from 1 species
GACGAACGCUGGCGGCGCGCUUAAUACAUGCAAGUCGAGCGAGAACCAGGGCUUCGGCCCUGGGGACAGCGGCGAACGGGUGAGUAACACGUGGGUAAUCAACCCCCGACACCGGGAUAGCCCAGGGAAACUUGGAUUAAUACCGGAUGCCCCAUCUGGCUUUCGAGCCGGCUGGAAAAGGGUAGCUUCGGCCUCCGGUCGGGGACGAGCCCGCGGCGGAUUAGCUUGUUGGUGAGGUAAAGGCUCACCAAGGCGACGAUCCGUAGCUGGUCUGAGAGGACGAUCAGCCACACUGGGACUGAGACACGGCCCAGACUCCUACGGGAGGCAGCAGUAGGGAAUCUUGCGCAAUGGGCGAAAGCCUGACGCAGCGACGCCGCGUGAGGGAAGAAGGCCUUCGGGUUGUAAACCUCUUUCAGGAGGGACGAAGCCACUCGGGUUAAUAGCCUAGAGGGUGACGGUACCUCCAGAAGAAGCCCCGGCUAACUACGUGCCAGCCGCCGCCGUAA